rnacentral:rRNA from 1 species
GAAUUCACUAGUGAUUCAGGCCUAACACAUGCAAGUCGAACGGCAGCACGGGGGCAACCCUGGUGGCGAGUGGCGAACGGGUGAGUAAUAUAUCGGAACGUACCCAGUAGUGGGGGAUAACUAUCCGAAAGGAUAGCUAAUACCGCAUACGAUCUGUGGAUGAAAGCAGGGGAUCUUCGGACCUUGUGCUAUUGGAAUGGCCGAUAUCUGAUUAGCUAGUUGGUAGGGUAAAAGCCUACCAAGGCGACGAUCAGUAGCUGGUCUGAGAGGACGACCAGCCACACUGGAACUGAGACACGGUCCAGACUCCUACGGGAGGCAGUAGUGGGGAAUUUUGGACAAUGGGGGCAACCCUGAUCCAGCAAAGCCGCGUGAGUGAAGAAGGCCCUCGGGUUGUAA